rnacentral:rRNA from 1 species
AGAGUUUGAUCCUGGCUCAGGACGAACGCUGGCGGCGUGCCUAAUACAUGCAAGUCGAGCGGACUUAAAAAGCUUGCUUUUUAAGUUAGCGGCGGACGGGUGAGUAACACGUGGGCAACCUGCCUGUAAGACUGGGAUAACUUCGGGAAACCGGAGCUAAUACCGGAUAAUCCUUUUCUACUCAUGUAGAAAAGCUGAAAGACGGUUUACGCUGUCACUUACAGAUGGGCCCGCGGCGCAUUAGCUAGUUGGUGAGGUAACGGCUCACCAAGGCGACGAUGCGUAGCCGACCUGAGAGGGUGAUCGGCCACACUGGGACUGAGACACGGCCCAGACUCCUACGGGAGGCAGCAGUAGGGAAUCUUCCGCAAUGGACGAAAGUCUGACGGAGCAACGCCGCGUGAGUGAUGAAGGUUUUCGGAUCGUAAAACUCUGUUGUUAGGGAAGAACAAGUACGAGAGUAACUGCUCGUACCUUGACGGUACCUAACCAGAAAGCCACGGCUAACUACGUGCCAGCAGCCGCGGUAAUACGUAGGUGGCAAGCGUUGUCCGGAAUUAUUGGGCGUAAAGCGCGCGCAGGCGGUCCUUUAAGUCUGAUGUGAAAGCCCACGGCUCAACCGUGGAGGGUCAUUGGAAACUGGGGGACUUGAGUGCAGAAGAGAAGAGUGGAUUUCACGCGUAGCGGUGAAAUGCGUAGAGAUGUGGAGGAACACCAGUGGCGAAGGCGACUCUUUGGUCUGUAACUGACGCUGAGGCGCGAAAGCGUGGGGAGCAAACAGGAUUAGAUACCCUGGUAGUCCACGCCGUAAACGAUGAGUGCUAAGUGUUAGAGGGUUUCCGCCCUUUAGUGCUGCAGCAAACGCAUUAAGCACUCCGCCUGGGGAGUACGGCCGCAAGGCUGAAACUCAAAGGAAUUGACGGGGGCCCGCACAAGCGGUGGAGCAUGUGGUUUAAUUCGAUGCAACGCGAAGAACCUUACCUACUCUUGACAUCCGGAGAACUUAGCAGAGAUGCUUUGGUGCCUUCGGGAACUCUGAGACAGGUGCUGCAUGGCUGUCGUCAGCUCGUGUUGUGAAAUGUUGGGUUAAGUCCCGCAACGAGCGCAACCCUUAUCCUUUGUUGCCAGCGGUCCGGCCGGGAACUCAAAGGAGACUGCCAGUGAUAAACUGGAGGAAGGUGGGGAUGACGUCAAGUCAUCAUGGCCCUUACGAGUAGGGCUACACACGUGCUACAAUGGCGCAUACAAAGAGAAGCGACCUCGCGAGAGCAAGCGGACCUCAUAAAGUGCGUCGUAGUCCGGAUUGGAGUCUGCAACUCGACUCCAUGAAGUCGGAAUCGCUAGUAAUCGUAGAUCAGAAUGCUACGGUGAAUACGUUCCCGGGCCUUGUACACACCGCCCGUCACACCAUGGGAGUGGGUUGCAAAAGAAGUAGGUAGCUUAACCUUCGGGAGGGCGCUUACCACUUUGUGAUUCAUGACUGGGGUGAAGUCGUAACAAGGUAACCGUAGGGGAACCUGCGGUUGGAACACCUCCUUUCU